GUCGAGCGGCAGCGGAAAGAGCCUUGCUCCUUUGGCGGAGAGCGGGAGACGGGUGAGUUGUGUGUGGGAAAGUGCCUGAUGGAGGGAGAUAACUACUGGAAGCGGUAGCUAAUACCGCAUAGCGUCGCAAGACCAAAGAGGGGGACCUUCGGGCCUCUUGCCCUCAUAUGUGCCCAGAUGGGUUUAUCUAAUAUGGGGGAUAGCGUCUCACCUACGAGAAUAUCCCUAUGUGCUCUGAGAGGAAGACCACCCACUCUGGAUCUGAGACACGGUCCACACUUCUACGAGAGGCAGCAGUGGGGAAUAUUGCACAAUGGGCGCAAGCCUGAUACCCCUGUGCCGCGUGUAUGAAAAAGGCUUUCGGUUUGUAAAGUUCUUUCCGCGGAGAAGAAGGUGUUGAGGUUAAUAACCUCAGCUUUUGACUUUACCCGCAAAAAAAGCCCCGGCUAUCUCCGUGCCCGCACCCGC
rnacentral:rRNA from 1 species